rnacentral:rRNA from 1 species
GACGAACGCUGGCGGCGUGCUUAACACAUGCAAGUCGAACGGUGAAGGGGUCUGCUUUUGUGGGCCCUGGCUGAGUGGCGAACGUGUGAGUAACACGUGAGUAACCUGCCCCCUUCUUCUGGAUAACCGCAUGAAAGUGUGGCUAAUACGGGAUAUUCUGGGUCUGUCGCAUGAUGGGCCUGGGCAAGAUUGCGCCUUUGGGUGUUUUUGGUGGGGGAUGGGGUCGAGGCCUAUCAGCUUGUUGGUGGGGUGACUGCCUACCAAGGCGGUGACGAAUAGCCCGACUGAGCGGGGGGACGGUCACAAUGGAAAAGGGUCACUACAGAGAGACAUGAGGGAGACGGCGGUGUGGAGUAUGGCGGAAGGGGAGCGAGCCUGAUGGAGCGACGGCGCGUGGGAGAUGUACGCCUUCGAGUUGUAAACCUCUUUCGACAGUGAAGCAGGGCUGCUGGUUGUGGGUGGGUUGACGGUAGCUGGCUAAGAAACGCCGGCUAACUACGUG